GACGAACGCUGGCGGCGUGCCUAAUACAUGCAAGUCGAGCGAAGUUUUUCUGGUGCUUGCACCGGAAAAACUUAGCGGCGAACGGGUGAGUAACACGUAAAGAACCUGCCUCAUAGACUGGGACAACUAUUGGAAACGAUAGCUGAUACCGGAUAAUAGCAUUAACUGCAUGGUUGAUGUUUAAAAGUUGGUUUUGCUAACACUAUGAGAUGGCUUUGCGGUGCAUUAGCUAGUUGGUGGGGUAAAGGCCUACCAAGGCGACGAUGCAUAGCCGACCUGAGAGGGUGAUCGGCCACACUGGGACUGAGACACGGCCCAGACUCCUACGGGAGGCAGCAGUAGGGAAUCUUCCGCAAUGGGCGAAAGCCUGACGGAGCAACGCCGCGUGAGUGAAGAAGGAUUUCGGUUCGUAAAGCUCUGUUGUUAGGGAAGAAUGAUUGUGUAGUAACUAUACACAGUAGAGACGGUACCUAACCAGAAAGCCACGGCUAACUACGUG
rnacentral:rRNA from 1 species